UACGUAGGGUGCGAGCGUUAAUCGGAAUUACUGGGCGUAAAGCGUGCGUAGGCGGUUGGCAAAGUCAGCUGUGAAAGCCCCGGGCUUAACCUGGGAAUGGCGGUUGAAACUAGUCGACUAGAAUCUGGCAGAGGGGGGUGGAAUUCCACAUGUAGCAGUGAAAUGCGUAGAGAUGUGGAGGAACACCGAUGGCGAAGGCAGCCCCCUGGGCUGAGAUUGACGCUCAGGCACGAAAGCGUGGGGAGCAAACAGG
rnacentral:rRNA from 1 species